rnacentral:rRNA from 1 species
ACACGUGAUUCAGAGUUUGAUCCUGGCUCAGGAUGAACGCUGGCGGCGUGCUUAACACAUGCAAGUCGAACGAAGCACCUAUGAUUGAUUCUUCGGAUGAAAGAAUAGGUGACUGAGUGGCGGACGGGUGAGUAACGCGUGGGUAACCUGCCUCAUACAGGGGGAUAACAGUUAGAAAUGACUGCUAAUACCGCAUAAGCGCACAGUACCGCAUGGUACAGUGUGAAAAACUCCGGUGGUAUGAGAUGGACCCGCGUCUGAUUAGCUAGUUGGUGAGGUAACGGCUCACCAAGGCAACGAUCAGUAGCCGGCCUGAGAGGGUGAACGGCCACAUUGGGACUGAGACACGGCCCAA